rnacentral:rRNA from 1 species
UACGUAGGGUGCAAGCGUUUGUCCGGAAUUAUUGGGCGUAAAGAGCUUGUAGGCGGUUUGUCGCGUCUGCUGUGAAAUUUCGGGGCUCAACCCCGAACUUGCAGUGGGUACGGGCAGACUAGAGUGUGGUAGGGGAGACUGGAAUUCCUGGUGUAGCGGUGAAAAUGCGCAGAUAUCAGGAGGAACACCGAUGGCGAAGGCAAUCCCCCUGGGCCUGUACUGACGCUCAUGCACGAAAAGCGUGGGGGAGCAAAACAGG